CUGGAAUGGUUCCUGACUAAAAUCUAUAUGGCCUCUGGAUUGGACUACGGCCGAUCAGGCUGUUGGUGAGGUAAUGGCCCACCAAACCUAUUACCGGUACGGGCUCUGAGAGGAGGAGCCCGGAGAUGGGCACUGAGACAAGGGCCCAGGCCCUAUGGGGCGCAGCAGGCGCGAAACCUCUGCAAUAGGCGAAAGCUUGACAGGGUUACUCUGAGUGAUUUCCGCUAAGGGAAUCUUUUGGCACCUCUAAAAAUGGUGCAGAGUAAGGGGUGGGCAAGUCUGGUGUCAGCCGCCACGGUAAUACCAGCACCCCGAGUGGUCGGGACGAUUAUUGGGCCUAAAGCAUCCGUAGCCGGUUCUGCAAGUCCCCCGUUAAAUCCAGCUGCUCAACAGAUGGGCCGCGGAGGAUACUACAGAGCUAGGAGGCAGGAGAGGCAAGCGGUACUCAGUGGGUAGGGGUAAAAUCCGUUGAUCCAUUGAAGACCACCAGUGGCGAAGGCGGCUUGCCAGAAUGCGCUCGACGGUGAGGGAUGAAAGCUGGGGGGGCAAACCGGAUUAGAUACCCGGGUAGUCCCAGCUGUAAACGAUGCAGACUCGGUGAUGAAUUGGCUUUAUGCCAAUUCAGUGCCGCAGGGAAGCCGUUAAGUUUGCCGCCUGGGGAGUACGGUCGCAAGACUGAAACUUAAAGGAAUUGGCGGGGGAGCACCACAAGGGGUGAAGCCUGCGGUUCAAUUGGACUCAACGCCGGU
rnacentral:rRNA from 1 species